CAGCGCAUUAGGAUCAACUUGGCGUCGACCAGGAUUUCUGCCCCAUAAAUCCGGGAAAAAAUAUUGAAUACACCCAGAGUCACAAUUGGAAUUGUCCUACGCUCGAGCACACAUGACCAUCAACGAGGAGUUGGGUACAGGUUUUCAUCAGGAGAUGAUGGCUGGUCAGCUGGACAAGAGAGUGUUGCUUGCUUGGAAGGCGUCAGCAUAUUGGUCAUUCAAUCGCUGUUUAAAAAUGCCCCGUUUUCAGCGCAAGAACAACCUGGUGUGUCGACCAAAACUUCUACUUCUACCCCAUCGAUACGUCCUGAUUCACAGUUGAAGUGGAGUAGCUCUACGCUCGAGAGCCCAUGCAUCACCAUCCACGCGGACUGGUCAACCGAACGUGGAUAGGAGCAGGUUUUCAUCAGGAGGUGACGGGAGGUCAGGUGGACAGGAGAAUGUUCCUUGGAAGGCAACCCUGUAUGGCUGUCUUUUGGAGAUAUGAGAUCUGGGCCCCGUCUUACAAAGAGUUGCCAUUGAUCCGAUCAAUCGCAAAUAUGGACGGCCAUCAACGUCAACAUAUAAAAUGCUUGUUUGUUCAAAAAAAUUUCUAGAUAUGAAUGUAUAUCCAUAAAUUCAUUGAUUUCUUGACAAUUUGGUAUGUUCUCUUUUGUUUACAAAGGACAUUUUACAAAUUUCCUGUCGAAGAAAUUAUGACACUGAUGGAUUUCCAUAGAGUUAUGAUUGAUUGGAUCAAUCGUAAGUCUUUGUAAGACGGGGCCCAGAUCUGACGUCGAUUUCCCACUUGAGAUAACCCCCCCCCCCCCAAAAAAAAAAAAAAAAAAUAGGAUGUGGACGGUGGAUUUCGGUCAACGAAUGUCCCAAUCCGACACGUCGACACACCAUGGUUUGAAAGUUCACCCGAUGCAGUCAUCUCAUCAUAUUUUGGUGAGGGGGGGGGGUGAGGAGUAUUAUAAUUAUGAUCAAGAAUCCCGUUGGCCCAAUAGGGGUGCCACUGUCACUACAAGGUUGGAAACCAUGCUUGUCCACAAAAGCAGUAAAAAGUUUGUUUUUCACGACCGGGCGAUGUACCCACGGAGAGUAAAAAUGGUAUCAAAAUGGCCAAAAUCAUACAAAAAUUAUUUACUUUUCAACCGUUAAGUGCGCAUGGAAAGGGUAUUAGCUUAUCAUGAAAAUUAUAUAUUUGAGCCAUUAUUUAGGGUAGGGAAAAAAUGUGUAGGGUAUCAUAAGAUGGUAGGAUGAUAACUUAUUAAGGGGAGGCUCACCCUGACAAAAGUUUAUUGAAAAAAGUCGCAGAAAAAUGAAUUUAAAAAGGUCUGAGGAAAAUAAAAAAAUUAUUUGAUUUUUUUUAUUUGUGACGUCAUAUACAAGCAGCUUUCCCACAUUUAUCAUGUGGUAAAAAAAAAUCAAUUGUAAUUUUCUCAGAAAAUUGGAUAUGGGUUUUAAUGUUCCUUCAGUAUAUCAAUAGACAUCACUUAACACCCACUCCUGAAAGAAACAAAAAUUAAGUCAUCAAGAACCAUUACAAGUUUGAAAUUCAUGCAUUUAUGCAUUUACCAAAUGGGGCAGCUGCUAGUAUAUGACGUUAAAAAAAAAAAAUUCUAAUAAAUUUCUUAAUCUUUGAUGGAUUUUCCAGAAACCUUCACAAUAUUUUUUUUAGUUAUUUUUUUCUGCCUUUUGUACAACAAACCUCUCGUCUGAGGGUGAACUUCCACUUUAACAAUCAAAAGGUAAAUUUUACGUUUUUGUACACGGUUCUUGUUUUUUUUAAAUGGGGAGGGGGCUGAAGCCCACCCAGCCCCCCCCCCCCUGUUUCCACUGCCCCUGCCUUGUAAUGACAGCGGGCACAGGACCAGUUUGUCUCCUCCUGGCCGACGGAUCCCAAGAAAAUUAAGUAUGAUUCCUUGAUCAAUAUAAUAAUCAAUCAUAUGGCUUAUCUUCCAAAUUUGUGAGGCCCACUCUUCUCCAUGAUCUUUUUUUUUCGGUAUUCAGACAAAAUAAUGUUACGAAUGAGGUAACAUGUCCUUUGUCAUGUACAUAUCCAAUGCUGGUUCUGUUUUUGCCAAAAUUUAUAAAUGUGUUAUUAAUUUAACUUGUACUAUGUCAAAUCAAUUGAUUUUAUGUUUAUGAUUCAAAUAGCGUCACAGAAAAUGCCAUCGAAGAAACAAUGAAGAGCAAAACGACGGAAAUUACUUUUGAUAUAUUUUUUUUUACAAAUUAGAUUUACUUAGAAAACUACAAAGAACAUCUUGACCCCAAAUUAUGAAAAUUCAACUCUUUUUUCUUUGUUUAGAGCAGAAUUCUAAUUUCAUGCAUAAACGAGCAUAAUCAAUGGAAUCAUAAUUAGCAGCGCAAUUUUAUAGCUUAUGCCAAUGACAAUAUGCGUGCCAAUUUUUGACACGAUUGCGCCAAAAUACAGUGCGUCCCACUAAAAAGGAAACCCGUUUUUAGAGGUAGAUUUCACAAUUAUUAAAUAUGUUUUUACUAUAAGUGUGAUACUCAUGGCAAGAGUGGAAUUUCCUCUCUAAUUUGAAACCAAAAGCUUAGCAAAUCGUUCACACAUGGCAGAUUACAAACAAUAAAUACUGAGGCAUAUCAGAAACGAUUUGCGCUGAAUCCUAAAAAAAUAAAAGAAUACAGAAGAAAUGCUAAUGAGCCAAUCGUCGAAGAAGCACGUUUGUCGGAUCACGAACCAAUCUUGUCCAAUUUUUCUGCGCAAUCUGGUUUUGACAUUAAAAUUUCAAACUCGUUUUGCUCAUUAAUGCGUGAAGUUUUCGUCACAUAUUAGGUAUCAAAAUAAAGAGAAAUAGUUGAAUUAUAUGAUUAUGUAAAUUAAAUAUGAUUAAUUUGCGUUUGAAGAAAAAAAUGACAUGGGAAUCCCGGUUUCUUUUUUUCUGGGACGCACUGUAUAGUCCGGCUUGUGGUUACGGGUUGUUUACAAUCAGGGUAUACUGUAAAAAAACAAAUUUAAAAAAAGAAAAAGGAUUUCUGUACAUCAUAAAAUGAAAUAUGUGUACUGUUAUCUCAAAUCUUCAAUAGCAAGUUACUUGGGCACUUUUAAAGCAACCUGGAAUAGGAAAGAAAAUACUAAAUAUUAUGAUUGCUUCUAAAAUUGACCAAAUCUGAUAUUUUAGGGCAGACAUUACUGUCGCAUUCCUUUUUUUUUUUUCAAUUUUGAGCCAGAGUAUCUAUUAUAAGGAAUUGUUUUACCAAUUAAAUUGAUUAUUUAAAUGCAUUUGUUAAAAAAAAACUCCCAGAAGCUAUUGAUUUGAUUUUUGUGACUGUAAGCCCAAAAUGUGGUGCCAAUUCUUUCCAAAAAUGUCCUCUCAGAAUUUCGAAUUUUUACGCAUAGUUUGCCAUUACUUGAUGAACAACGUUUUUGUUUAUAAGAUCACUUGUAUUAUGCAACAAACUUAUAAUGCUUACUUUGCCCAAUAUCCAAUUAUUUUUCACACAGUUCACAUUCCAAUGUUGUCAAAUCUAUUUUUGUCCAAAAGUUUCUUCUCCGAAAAAAAAUAAAGCGAUUGACCGCACAUGUAAUAAAAAAAAUAAUAAAGUGGUCCACCAUAAUAUACCUAGAAAUUUUAGAAAAUUUUUAUUUCACUUGUUUAUAAUACAAAAAUAGGAAAAACGAGACAACUUUUUUGUUAGGUCAAAUGAGACAGUUGAAUAUUCCUGAUUGUAACUACCCUUAUGGUUAAUUUGGAUACCCAAGGCGGACGAAGCAAAGAAUUGUCAUACAUUUGAAUGUUAUUUAGUUCAUACAUGUUGUACCUGACGAUGACUGUGUAUGUGAUUUCACUCUUUUUCGAUUCUGUGUAUUACUUUUGCUUGAACUUGCAAUCACCUAGGCAAAAUUCAUUCAUUCAUUUAUAUGAAUGAGUGGUAAGAAUUCAUUCACUCACUUAUUCAAUGAUUCAUAUGAAUGCAUUCAUUCAUCCAUUCAUAUAUAUUUAUGAAUGAAUGGAUUUUGCCUGAUUAUUAAAUAAGCGUGUUACAUCU